rnacentral:rRNA from 1 species
UAUUAAGCGGAGGAAAAGAAACUAACCAGGAUUUCCUCAGUAGCGGCGAGCGAACAGGAAAGAGCCCAGCACCGAAUCCCGCGGUUCCGCCGCUGGGAAAUGUGGUGUUCGGGAGGGUCCGCUUAUCCCGAGGUGUCGGAUCGCGUCCAAGUCCAUCUUGAAUGGGGCCACUUACCCGUAGAGGGUGCCAGGCCCGUAGCGACCGGUACGCGCCUCGGGAGGAUCUCUCCUUAGAGUCGGGUUGCUUGAGAGUGCAGCUCUAAGUGGGUGGUAAACUCCAUCUAAGGCUAAAUACGACCACGAGACCGAUAGCGAACAAGUACCGUGAGGGAAAGUUGAAAAGAACUUUGAAGAGAGAGUUCAAGAGUACGUGAAACCGUUCAGGGGUAAACCUAAGAAACCCAAAAGAUCGAACGGGGAGAUUCAUCGUCAGCGGCGCCGGCUUCGCGUCGGUGGGCGAUGACCCGCGGGCACGUCCCACGGGCACGCUACCGUGCGCGCAUGUCCGGCGCGCGUCGUCGUGCACUUCUCCCCUAGUAGGACGUCGCGACCCGCUGGGUGUCGGUCUACGGUCCGAGUGCGGUGCCUGUCGCGUCGCCGGUAAAACGGCACGCGGCAAACCCUCGGUCGCCCGACCGGCUGCCCGGCGGUACUCGCAAGGUAUCAGGCCGCAAGGCGCGCGCGGCGCACCCGCGUCGCGCGCCUACCUGCGUCGAGUCCGUCGCAAGCGCGCGCCAUGGUUGCUCGGAGGUUACGGACCUAGCGCCGUCCCCGGUCCUGGCCCGCUGUUCGCUCGACGGUGACCCUUCGACUGGCCUCGAAGCGCGGGUCUGCGGGCCGAGUCCUCUCGGUCCUCUCACGCGCGAUACCGGUCGGCGACGCUACUGCUUUGGGUACUCUUAGGACCCGUCUUGAAACACGGACCAAGGAGUCUAACAUGUGCGCGAGUCAUUGGGAUGAGAAAAACCUAAAGGCGCAAUGAAAGUGAAGGUCGGCCCUGGCGCCGACCGAGGGAGGAUGGGCCGCGUCGCGAUGCGGCCUCGCACUCCCGGGGCGUCUCGUUCUCAUUGCGAGAAGAGGCGCACCAAGAGCGUACACGUUGGGACCCGAAAGAUGGUGAACUAUGCCUGGUCAGGACGAAGUCAGGGGAAACCCUGAUGGAGGUCCGUAGCGAUUCUGACGUGCAAAUCGAUCGUCGGAACUGGGUAUAGGGGCGAAAGACUAAUCGAACCAUC